CCACUCAUUUUCUCACUAUCCACUUUCUCUCUUUGGCCGGCUCUUUCACUUCACUCCUUUUCUUUCCUUUUUUUCAUUCUCUCAUAGCUCCUCUCUAUACUCAUCUUCUCCACCGGCACUUCCACACCACCGCCACCAUUUCCACCAUUUCAACCAUCAUUUUCCGGCAAGAUCACCAGAAAAUUUUUGGGAACCCAUAAACACCUUCACAUCCUUUUUUUGAGAUAAAAAUUUCUCAUCUUUUUGGUUCUAGCUAAUCUCCUUGGAGCUUGGAGAAUUAGGAUUUUGUGGUUACGAGGUAAGUAGUUUUUUAAUGGGAUUUUGAAAAAUAACCAUGUUGUGUAAAUGUUGUUUUUGGGUUAGACACACUUUUGGAACUACCUAUGGAAAUUAUAUUUUCCUAAAAACUAUUGUGUCGUAACCAUAAUAUAUAUAUAUAUAUAUAUGAUUAUAUAUGAAAAUGCAUCAUAUUUGGUAUUGCAUUUGGGGAAAUGCAUGAAUUGUUGAUAUGGAAAAAAAAUGAGCAUAUUUUAUUUAAUCUUUGAUAAGGAAAUCUUGGAUUUUAUGGUAUAUUAGAAAAUUUAAAGAUGCUUAUCUGGUCUUGUAAUGUGAGAAAUUGUUAGAAAAUCUUUUGACAAGAAUGAGGUUGAAAAUCUUACAAACUUUGUAGAAGUUAGAUUAUUUAAGGUUUUCUGAAACUACUUGGAUACGAAUUAUGUGUUUCAAAGUAAUGUAACUUGUGAGUUUAUGUGGUUUUAGCCCUAUGCCAUGUAUGAUUUCCCGGUGAUCACCCGAUUUGGUUUCCGUAGUCUUUGUGAUAAUGGAAUCAAAUCUAGGUCAGUGCCCUUUCACUUUGGAUGACGCGUUCUUCCCUGCUGUCCAUGGGGGGAAGAGGUUCCUUGAUUGUGUGUGAGUGAGACUGCUAUCCAUGGGGCCAAAAUACCACAUGCAAGAGAGGUCCUAUUUGACGCGCUCUCUUUGCUGCCCAUGGAGGGAGAGAAAAACCUUGAGAGUAUGGGUGAGGCUGCUAUCCAUGGGGCCAAGAGUCUGUAUACCAGAGAGGACAAUAUCAUGCCAGUUGUGAAUGGGUGAAUCCCCUAAUCGGUUUAUGUGGUAGUGUGGUAUAUUUGUGAUAAGUUACCUUAUGUUAGAUAUUAUGACUUUGGAAAUUAUAUUGUUGGUGCUCACAGAUUAUAGUAUAUAGUUUCAAGGUAUUUACUUUGGGAAACUUUGUGUUUCAUUAUUUAAUCAUUCUUCUCAUAUUAAUAUUAUUGAAGAUGAAACUUGCAUUUCCCUCACCCCCAUUAAAUAUGCUACUUACUGGGCCCUAUCUCAUUCCAUUAUUUUAUAAACUUUUCAGAGUAGGCAACAAUCUUUUGAGACAGCUUUUUGGGUGGCUAAUAGUAGUUAGACUAACUACUGAUGGAGGCUAAACUUUUGUAAUGGAUAUAUUAGAUGGUAUAUAUCUUAGACUAGACUUGACUCAUUCUUUUGUGGCCAAUGGUCCUUGUAAUUAAUGCUUAAAGCUCUGACUUACUCUGUGAGUA